rnacentral:rRNA from 1 species
AUUGAACGCUGGCGGCAGGCUUAACACAUGCAAGUCGAGCGGGGUGAUGGUGCUUGCACUAUCACUUAGCGGCGGACGGGUGAGUAAUGCUUAGGAAUCUGCCUAUUAGUGGGGGACAACAUCUCGAAAGGGAUGCUAAUACCGCAUACGUCCUACGGGAGAAAGCAGGGGAUCACUUGUGACCUUGCGCUAAUAGAUGAGCCUAAGUCGGAUUAGCUAGUUGGUGGGGUAAAGGCCUACCAAGGCAACGAUCUGUAGCGGGCCUGAGAGGAUGAUCCGCCACACUGGGACUGAGACACGGCCCAGACUCCUACGGGAGGCAGCAGUGGGGAAUAUUGGACAAUGGGGGGAACCCUGAUCCAGCCAUGCCGCGUGUGUGAAGAAGGCCUUAUGGUUGUAAAGCACUUUAAGCGAGGAGGAGGCUCUUUUGGUUAAUACCCAAGAUGAGUGGACGUUACUCGCAGAAUAAGCACCGGCUAACUCUGUGCCAGCCGCCGCGGUAAAAC